AGUGAACGCUGGCGGUAGGCCUAACACAUGCAAGUCGAACGGCAGCACAGUAAGAGCUUGCUCUUACGGGUGGCGAGUGGCGGACGGGUGAGGAAUACAUCGGAAUCUACUUUUUCGUGGGGGAUAACGUAGGGAAACUUACGCUAAUACCGCAUACGACCUACGGGUGAAAGCAGGGGAUCUUCGGACCUUGCGCGAUUGAAUGAGCCGAUGUCGGAUUAGCUAGUUGGCGGGGUAAAGGCCCACCAAGGCGACGAUCCGUAGCUGGUCUGAGAGGAUGAUCAGCGACACUGGAACUGAGACACGGUCCAGACUCCUACGGGAGGCGGCAGUGGGGAAUAUUGGACAAUGGGCGCAAGCCUGAUCCAGCCAUACCGCGUGGGUGAAGAAGGCCUUCGGGUUGCAAAGCCCUUUUGUUGGGAAAGAAAAGCAGCAGGUUAAUACCCCGCUGUUCUGACGGUACCCAAAGAAUAAGCACCGGCUAACUUCGUG
rnacentral:rRNA from 1 species